AUCCAAUGGUUCAAAAGAAGAAAAAAAACAACCGCGGCUGGUACAUCGCCUCUCCUCGCCCCGCCCCGCCCGUCGCCGCCGUGUCCGCGAGUCGCGAGGGGAUCGCUCGUCGGCGCGAACUCGAAAAGCCCAGGACGGCAGGCACCGCAGAGCGCGUAGGGCCAACCGGAAACCUCAUUGGCUGGCAGCGGAACCUUUCGAUGCUCCGCUGAACCGGCGG
rnacentral:lncRNA from 1 species